rnacentral:rRNA from 1 species
CACGUAGGGCGCAAGCGUUGUCCGGAAUUAUUGGGCGUAAAGAGCUCGUAGGCGGUCUGUUACGUCUGCUGUGAAAACCCGGGGCUUAACCCUGGGCUUGCAGUGGAUACGGGCAGACUAGAGGCAGGUAGGGGAGAAUGGAAUUCCCGGUGUAGCGGUGAAAUGCGCAGAUAUCGGGAGGAACACCGGUGGCGAAGGCGGUUCUCUGGCCCGGUACUGACGCUGAGGUGCGAAAGCGUGGGGAGCAAACAGG